CCUCUUUCUCCUUCUCACUCAAGGACACUUUCAAGUGCAGACAGCUCUCCCUCCCCCUUACAAAUGACUCAGCCUUAUAAAAAUGCACCUCUGUGCUGCCCUAACUCCCAUUACCAGCUUCUUGUUGACACAGCAGAAAUUCCAAACAAAACCUGGAUGUUUUAUUAAACUGAGGAGUCAGAAGGAAAGAAGUGCUGUCUGACUUUUUUGUGACCCCAUUUGGGGUUUUCUUGCCAUGAACACGAGUGGUUUGCCAUUUCCUUCUCCGGCUCAUUUUACAAAUGAGGAAAUUGAGACAAACAGGAUUCUGUGACUUUCCAAGUUCAGUGGAGGAUGAAUUGGAGAGGGGAAGAGCUUGGAGACAAGAAGAUCAGUUUGAAGAUGAUUACAAUAGUAAAGAUGACCUCAUCUUCCUCUUUACUGAGAAAACUGAGACCAUCCAUGAUGACUCUCUUAUCUCUCCUACUCUUGACGUCAAGUGGACUUUUCCCCACUUGGUGGAUGGCGGGAGGUCUUCGCCCGAGCGCCAGCGGAAAAGCAAUCAUCCCGCUGCGGGAGCGGCCGGGGGCUGGUGCCCACCGGUCCGCGCUCCCGCCAGGGCCGCGGCGAGGCCCGCGAAGGCUGGCACCACAGCGAGUCGGCGGUCGCCCCCGCCGGAGUCCCGGCUGCGCCGCUGGCCGGGAGGGGCGUGAAGCGGGCGGGGAAGAUGGCAGCGGACAAGGCCGCAGAUCAAGGAACAGAGAAACAUGA
rnacentral:lncRNA from 1 species